GCCCAUGGCCGACGGUACACAGCCGGCCCUGAGGAAGGAGCAGGAGGAGCGGCAGCAGCACAGACAGCGGCGUCACAGGGCACCUCGGAGCCGCCUUCGCGUCGUCCUCGUCUUCGUCCUGCUGCGAUGGUGGUUCCGAGGGCUGGCGGGUUCUCCCCUUCCCGGGGCCAUGGAGACACAGGAAGGAUGGAGACCGUCCCCCAAGCCCAGCUGCUUCCGCUUCCUUCUCAGAACUUCGCAGGCGCCUUUGAGAUGGGAAAAGGCUAGAGCGGCGAACCGACUGAAUUUCCGGUAAACAGGAAAGCGCCAUUGUCCCGAGCCAAGUAGCGGUGUCGGUCUACACCUUGGCAUCUCUAUGAAGAACCCGCUCCCCUGCCUUCCCGCCCUUCUCUGCGAUUGGUUCAAGUUUACACCGGAAGCGUGUUAAGGGCCGCUGCUCACUGCAAGCUUUGUUAUAAUCCUUCAUUGACUCUCUAUGAUCUUCACAGCAACCAGGAUCUCUGAAACAAAAUGUUCAACACCUUCAGCAGCAUAUCUUAGGAACAAAGAAAGCUCCCUUGCACCAGGCUCAGGCUAUUUGCCAUCUAGCCCAGUGUUGUCUAUUCUGACUGGCAGCAGAUGUUCAGCACAGAAGAGCUGCUCUCAUCACCUGCUACCUGAGAUCUUUUAAAUUUGAGAUGUGCAGAGUAUAAUACACUCAUGAUCAUAACAAGGCAAGCAAGAUCAGAACAAAUGGAAAUUACAUUUCAAUCAGAGACAUAUGCAUCUAAUGGGAUGAGUAUGUUGGCAAGAGGGAAGAGGAAUCUCUUUCUGAACAGAAACUAGACUUCAGAUUUACAAUGGAUAAAAGCAAACAGAAGAACACGUGAAGAUGGCAAACAUAAGUAGUAUUUUUUACAUACCUAAUCUGUACUCCAAGUAUCUCCUGCUGUGGAAUCCCUUCCACUGCUCCAACAUCAGCAGUGAUAAUCUGAAUAUUCAAGUGGGCAGGAAUAUCAGGACAAAUUCCUUUUAAAUCCCCCAAACUUGUGUUUGUAUUUGGAUCAGAUGUAUCUAAACCUGUUAAUGGGGAAAAAACAUUGUCCUGAGACAAUGAAUGAUGUUGAGCAGUUUAUCUUUAUUCUUCCAAGGUUACAAGGGGAAAGGGGCAACAUUAUUUUCAUUUAUUUAUAUAUAUAUUCAGCCCUUUCUCUUUAAGGGGCAAGGGAUGAUCUGCUAAAUAAACAUGAAGAAGACUGUACUGUUAAUUACGCUUUCCAGAAAAUAACAGAGCAGUCCUACACUCUGAACUAUAUGGAGGGAGAUAUUAUUUUCUUUUUAGGGUUAUCCUGCCUGUCUUCCAUCAUGGAACACAAGAUAGUGUACACAGUAGUUCCCAGGCGGCUGCCCAUUCAGGCACUGAGCAGAUCCAGACCUGUUCACCCACGUGGCCAACUCAUGUGCCUUCAGACCAUAACCAGGGACCACAUGCCACCACUGUAUACUUUGGCCCCUCAACCAGUGUGACAAUUACUCUGUAAUUCCAUUUAUUUCAAAAUAUCAAAACUCAAC